AUUGAACGCUAGCGGGAUGCUUUACACAUGCAAGUCGAACGGCAGCGCGGACUUCGGUCUGGCGGCGAGUGGCGAACGGGUGAGUAAUGUAUCGGAACGUGCCCAGUAGCGGGGUAUAACUACGCGAAAGCGUAGCUAAUACCUCAUACGCCCUACGGGGGAAAGCAGGGGAUCGUAAGACCUUGCACUAUUGGAGCGUCCGAUAUCGGAUUAGCUAGUUGGUGAGGUAACGGCUCACCAAGGCGACGAUCCGUAGCUGGUUUGAGAGGACGACCAGCCACACUGGGACUGAGACACGGCCCAGACUCCUACGGGAGGCAGCAGUGGGGAAUUUUGGACAAUGGGGGCAACCCUGAUCCAGCCAUCCCGCGUGUGCGAUGAAGGCCUUCGGGUUGUAAAGCACUUUUGGCAGGAAAGAAACGUAGCGGGCUAAUACCCCGUGGAACUGACGGUACCUGAAGAAUAAGCACCGGCUAACUACGUG
rnacentral:rRNA from 1 species